AGUAGGGAUCUUCCACAAUGGACGAAAGUCUGAUGGAGCAACGCCGCGUGAGUGAAGAAGGUUUUCGGAUCGUAAAACUCUGUUGUUGGAGAAGAAUGUAUCUGAUAGUAACUGAUCAGGUAGUGACGGUAUCCAACCAGAAAGCCACGGCUAACUACGUGCCAGCAGCCGCGGUAAUACGUAGGUGGCAAGCGUUGUCCGGAUUUAUUGGGCGUAAAGCGAGCGCAGGCGGUUUUUUAAGUCUGAUGUGAAAGCCUUCGGCUCAACCGAAGAAGUGCAUCGGAAACUGGGAAACUUGAGUGCAGAAGAGGACAGUGGAACUCCAUGUGUAGCGGUGAAAUGCGUAGAUAUAUGGAAGAACACCAGUGGCGAAGGCGGCUGUCUGGUCUGUAACUGACGCUGAGGCUCGAAAGCAUGGGUAGCAAACAGGAUUAGAUACCCUGGUAGUCCAUGCCGUAAACGAUGAGUGCUAGGUGUUGGAGGGUUUCCGCCCUUCAGUGCCGCAGCUAACGCAUUAAGCACUCCGCCUGGGGAGUACGAUCGCAAGAUUGAAACUCAAAGGAAUUGACGGGGCCC
rnacentral:rRNA from 1 species